rnacentral:rRNA from 1 species
GGAUUAGAUACCCUGGUAGUCCACGCUGUAAACGAUGAGAACUUGACGUCGGCUUGCUUAGCGAGUCGGUGUCGUAGCUAACGCGAUAAGUUCUCCGCCUGGGGAGUACGGCCGCAAGGUUGAAACUCAAAGGAAUUGACGGGGGCCCGCACAAGCGGUGGAGUAUGUGGUUUAAUUCGAUGCAACGCGAAGAACCUUACCUGGUCUUGACAUGUCUGGAAUCCUGCAGAGAUGCGGGAGUGCCUUCGGGAAUCAGAACACAGGUGCUGCAUGGCUGUCGUCAGCUCGUGCCG